UACGGAGGGGGCUAGCGUUGUUCGGAAUUACUGGGCGUAAAGCGCACGUAGGCGGCUUUGUAAGUUAGAGGUGAAAGCCCAGGGCUCAACCCUGGAAUUGCCUUUAAGACUGCAUCGCUUGAACAUCGGAGAGGUAAGUGGAAUUCCGAGUGUAGAGGUGAAAUUCGUAGAUAUCGGGAGGAACACCAGUGGCGAAGGCGGCUUCCUGGCCUGUUCUUGACGCUGAGGCGCGAAAGCUAGGGGAGCAAACGGG
rnacentral:rRNA from 1 species